GGCUGACAGAAAUUGGAAUUUAAUUUAUAUUAAGUUUUAAUUUCAUAAGUUUAAUAAAAAAAGGAUAAAUCAAAACAAAACAUAAGUCUUCUCCCCUAAUUUUCUCUCUCUUUACUCGACCCUAAAAAGAUUAAGACCCAACGUAGAAAACCCUUUGAGUUUUCUUCAAUCCAUAUUCAAGAAUUCAGCUAGUAUUCAAGCUGGAAGAGAUAGAGACAGUUAAGGGCCCAAAAUCGUCGAGCGUUGUUAUACUAAUACUGGCCCACACACUUGAAUUUGUAUUCGAGGUAAGGAAAAAGAAAAGAUGGAUCAACCAUGAGUUAGAGGUCUCCCGAAAAAUAUACAUACCAUCCCCUUCGUCUUUUGUGCUCAGUUGAUAGGAUUCGUCUUUGGUAGUUUUUGAAUAUGUAUUAAUAUUUUGUAAUAAACUAAUACGGUGGUAUUUUUGUAAAAGUUUAUAACAAAGAAGUUCUUCGAUCCAGUAAUA